rnacentral:rRNA from 1 species
GAUGAACGCUGGCGGCGUGCCUAAUACAUGCAAGUCGAGCGAACAGACGAGGAGCUUGCUCCUCUGACGUUAGCGGCGGGCGGGUGAGUAACACGUGGAUAACCUACCUAUAAGACUGGGAUAACUUCGGGAAACCGGAGCUACUACCGGAUAAUAUAUUGAACCGCAUGGUUCAAUAGUGAAAGACGGUUUUGCUGUCACUUAUAGAUGGAUCCGCGCCGCAUUAGCUAGUUGGUAAGGUAACGGCUUACCAAGGCAACGAUGCGUAGCCGACCUGAGAGGGUGAUCGGCCACACUGGAACUGAGACACGGUCCAGACUCCUACGGGAGGCAGCAGUAGGGAAUCUUCCGCAAUGGGCGAAAGCUUGACGGAGCAACGCCGCGUGAGUGAUGAAGGUCUUCGGAUCGUAAAACUCUGUUAUUAGGGAAGAACAAAUGUGUAAGUAACUAUGCACGUCUUGACGGUACCUAAUCAGAAAGCCACGGCUAACUACGUG